UAUGUACUCCCUCUGUUCCAAAAUUCUUGUCUUAAAUUUAUCUAUAUACGGAUGUAUUUACACAUUCGUAUAUAGACAAAUCUAAGACAAGAAUUUAGGGAUGGAGGGAGUAUUAU
rfam:Triticum aestivum genome assembly, contig: Triticum_aestivum_CS42_TGACv1_scaffold_222670_3B